GACGAACGCUGGCGGCGUGCCUAAUACAUGCAAGUAGAACGCACAGUUUAUACCGUAGCUUGCUACACCAUAGACUGUGAGUUGCGAACGGGUGAUUAACGCGUAGGUAACCUGCCUGGUAGCGCGGGAUAACUAUUGGAAACGAUAGCUAAUACCGCAUAAUAUUAAUUAUUGCAUGAUAAUUAAUUGAAAGGUGCAAUUGCACCACUACCAGAUGGACCUGGGUUGUAUUAGCUAGUAGGUGAGGUAACGGCUCACCUAGGCGACGAUACAUAGCCGACCUGGGAGGGUGAUCGGCCACACUGGGACUGAGACACGGCCCAGAAUCCUACGGGAGGCAGCAGUAGGGAAUCUUCGGCAAUGGACGAAAGUCUGACCGAGCAACGCCGCGUGAGUGAAGAAGGUUUUCGGAUCGUAAAGCUCUGUUGUAAGAGAAGAACGGGUGUGAGAGUGGAAAGUUCACACUGUGACGGUAUCUUACCAGAAAGGGACGGCUAACUACGUG
rnacentral:rRNA from 1 species